rnacentral:rRNA from 1 species
AAUGGCUGUAUUACCACAUUGUAGCCUGACUUAAUCAGAUCUCAGAAGAUAUCCAAGGCUGGGUCUGGUGAGUACAGUAAUGGGAGACCUCUAAAAAAUCCCAGUCACUGCUGUAA